AACGCGAAGAACCUUACCUGGGUUUGACAUGCACUGGACGCCGGUAGAGAUAUCGGUUCCGCAAGGCUGGUGCACAGGUGGUGCAUGGCUGUCGUCAGCUCGUGUCGUGAGAUGUUGGGUUAAGUCCCGCAACGAGCGCAACCCUCGUUCCAUGUUGCCAGCGCGUAAUGGCGGGGACUCAUGGGAGACUGCCGGGGUCAACUCGGAGGAAGGUGGGGAUGAGGUCAAGUCAUCAUGCCCCUUAUGUCCAGGGCUUCACACAUGCUACAAUGGCCGGUACAGAGGGCUGCGAAGCCGUGAGGUGGAGCGAAUCUCACAAAGCCGGUCUCAGUUCGGAUCGGGGUCUGCAACUCGACCCCGUGAAGUCGGAGUCGCUAGUAAUCGCAGAUCAGCAACGCUGCGGUGAAUACGUUCCCGGGCCUUGUACACACCGGUACUA
rnacentral:rRNA from 1 species